rnacentral:rRNA from 1 species
UACGAAGGGUGCAAGCGUUACUCGGAAUUACUGGGCGUAAAGGGUGCGUAGGUGGUCUGUUAAGUCUGCUGUGAAAUCCCCGGGCUCAACCUGGGAAUGGCAGUGGAUACUGGCAAGCUAGAGUGCGGUAGAGGGUAGUGGAAUUCCCGGUGUAGCAGUGAAAUGCGUAGAGAUCGGGAGGAACACCAGUGGCGAAGGCGGCUACCUGGACCAGCACUGACACUGAAGCACGAAAGCGUGGGGAGCAAACAGG